ACCCAUGAUCAUACAAUUGAAAACCACUAAAAUAUAUGAAGGUAAUAUGUCAUUACAAGCUCCUUAAAUUAAAAUAAAAUAUGUCCAAUAACAAGCAAAUCUAACUGAAAUAGAAGAAAUAUUACUCCUAAACUGAGACUGAAAAGUAGAAGUUUCUUCCAAAGUACCAAUAAUGUGGUGAUACUUAGUUUGCAUUAGUCUUGAUUCAAUUCUCACCUUUUAUACCUGUGUAAAAAAGAGAAAACAAAUUUAUAAGAUUUAAUAUAAAGUAGAAUUUGCAACAUUACAUUAUGUUUUUCAUACAUUGUAAUGCCAAGUUUCUGCAAAGAUAAAUCAAUCAUACAUAAUAUGAAGCUACACAUAUAUACGAACUAUAUCCCCACUGCUAUUUGUGGUGUGCAUGAAGUACAUCACAAGGAAACCAUAUCCCCACUGCUAUUUGUGGUGUGCAUGAAGUACAUCACAAGGCGUUGAUGCUAUGGGUGGCUGAAACUGAAAUACUUUGUUUUGCAGAUAAACAUGCUCAUAUUUUGCAAAGGGAAUAUAACAUAUGUGUUAAUGCCAAUAAGAUCAGGAAUAAAAACAUUCUCAGAGGUCACAUGGCUCACUACAAAUGCUACAAAGUUUAAUGUUUAUACUUCCAUCAUGGGGAAACAAGAGGUAAAUGCUAUAUGUUAAUUGUCUGAAUACGUCAGAGGUAACCACCAAUUAAAUACCUGGGCAUUCCCAUCACUUCUAGAACACUAAAUGCUAUAGAUUGCAAUGUGUUAGUAGGAAAAAUGACAGCCAAGGUGAAAAUUUGAGGCUUGAGGAACCUGUGUUUCCCUAGUAGGCUUCAACUGGUCAAUACCAUGCUG
rnacentral:lncRNA from 1 species